AACGAACGCUGGCGGCAGGCUUAACACAUGCAAGUCGAACGCCCCGCAAGGGUAGUGGCAGACGGGUAAGUAACGCGUGGGAAUCUACCUAGUUCUACGGAACAACAGUUGGAAACGACUGCUAAUACCGUAUACGCCCUAUGGGGGAAAGACUUAUCGGAAUUAGAUGAGCCCGCGUAAGAUUAGCUAGUUGGUGAGGUAAUGGCUCACCAAGGCGACGAUCUUUAGCUGGUCUGAGAGGAUGAUCAGCCACACUGGGACUGAGACACGGCCCAGACUCCUACGGGAGGCAGCAGUGGGGAAUAUUGGACAAUGGGCGCAAGCCUGAUCCAGCCAUGCCGCGUGAGUGAUGAAGGCCUUAGGGUUGUAAAGCUCUUUCAGUAGGGAAGAUAAUGACGGUACCUACAGAAGAAGCCCCGGCUAACUUCGUGCCAGCCGCCGCGGUAAAAC
rnacentral:rRNA from 1 species